AAGCACGUUUUUGUUCUUCUUCAAUACGAUACAUGGAGCGCUAAUCUAUCACUUUCCUCUCUUAGCUCGGUUCCUCUCCAAUACAAAUACAGAACGGUGGUUGAUCUGCUUGGAAAUUUUGAAAUGGACAAGACUUGGAUGCGUUGUACCAAUAGACUGAGCAAUGUGUAUUUAAAAGGAGUUAGACAAUUUUCCCCACUUUGCAAUUAAGCACUCAGAAUUAGAAGCUUGGUGAAACGGGCUAUUUAUCACAGAGAAAUUGUGCCCAAUCAUGAAGACGAGAGGAAGUAAGGAAAGAGAAAGGUGAUGUACAUUUGAAAUGAUUUAUGAUGUUUCUAUUCAUGAGAUGAUGGAUAAUUUUAGUGGGGUUAUGUUUAAACAUGGCACUGCC